rnacentral:rRNA from 1 species
GGGGUGGAAAGAUUUUUCGGCUCGGGAUGGGCUCGCGGCCUAUCAGCUUGUUGGUGAGGUGAUGGCUCACCAAGGCGUCAACGGGUAGCCAGCCUGAGAGGGUGACCGGCCACACUGGGACUGAGACACGGCCCAGACUCCUACGGGAGGCAGCAGUGGGGAAUAUUGCACAAUGGGCGGAAGCCUGAUGCAGCAACGCCGCGUGAGGGAUGACGGCCUUCGGGUUGUAAACCUCUUUUAGCAGGGAAGAAGCGAAAGUGACGGUACCUGCAGAAAAAGCGCCGGCUAACUACGUGCCAGCAGCCGCGGUAAUACGUAGGGCGCAAGCGUUAUCCGGAAUUAUUGGGCGUAAAGAGCUCGUAGGCGGUUUGUCGCGUCUGCUGUGAAAUCCCGAGGCUCAACCUCGGGUCUGCAGUGGGUACGGGCAGACUAGAGUGCGGUAGGGGAGAUUGGAAUUCCUGGUGUAGCGGUGGAAUGCGCAGAUAUCAGGAGGAACACCGAUGGCGAAGGCAGAUCUCUGGGCCGUAACUGACGCUGAGGAGCGAAAGGGUGGGGAGCAAACAGGCUUAGAUACCCUGGUAGUCCACCCCGUAAACGUUGGGAACUAGUUGUGGGGACCAUUCCACGGUUUCCGUGACGCAGCUAACGCAUUAAGUUCCCCGCCUGGGGAGUACGGCCGCAAGGCUAAAACUCAAAGGAAUUGACGGGGACCCGCACAAGCGGCGGAGCAUGCGGAUUAAUUCGAUGCAACGCGAAGAACCUUACCAAGGCUUGACAUACACCAGAACACCGUACAAAUACGGGACUCUUUGGACACU